UUUACUCUGUUAUGUAAGCAAAUAGUAAUUUGGUGUCAUAUUGGAAUUGUAAUUUUCAGGAAAAAUUUUAAAAAUCAGUAUUUGUCUGGUCUGAGCCGGGAAGACAAUAUUCGAAUUUCCAUAAAAUAGACAAGAGAAAUCGCAGACUUCAUUGAGGGUAGGGCCAUUUCCGAAUAUGCAAACUAAGUACAGAGUCCCCAGACGGGAAAUGCUUGCCUAUGCAAAUGGGAGGGUCGCAGAACGCAAACAAAUCAAGCGACCCGAACAACGCCCCGUUCCCAGGACGAACUUUAGUAGCGAACCUCGGCGGGUAAACGGGCUGAAUUAAAAUCGAGAGGGGAACAAAAAAAUGCGAGAACAAUGGAUUGGGCUGGAGUGGAAUCAUGAAAGUAAACUAAUUAAAAUGUAAUGAAUUCAGAAAGUUCUUCGGCAUUUGGGGCUAUAAUUCACCAUUAAUGCAGCCAACAGAAUUCACUUGCAGUUGUGGUUGUGUUCACUGCUUCUUUCUGAAUUUACGACCGCAAUAAAAGUCAUGGAAAUA